GCAUUUCAGAUAAGUGUAUUCAACCUAUAUCGGUUUUUUAGGGGAAACACAAAUAGAAGAAGAAUCUCUUAUUUUGAGAUUUAGUCCAUGUGAUAAUUUUUUUGGAAUAAUUUGUAGAGAGGCAUGAGGGCAUAUUGAGGAUUGGGAACACCUUCAAGAAAUGUUCAGAUCAUAUCAUAGGAGGCCAUAUAAUAAUAGGCCAUAUAAUUGGGGUCAGGCUAUGGAGUCAGAAGAUAAUUAUUUUUUUUUCCUUAUCUAUUACUUCUUGCUCUGUUUUCCUAAUCUGGGUUUAUAUUAGUUUCGGUUUGGGGCCCCCUCAUUAUACCCAAAUCUGUUUUGGUAAUCAAAUUAAUUUCUGUGUCAAAUAUUUGGACUUAGCGUUUUCAUUCCUUUCUGCAGCAAAUACUGACUGUGGGCUGCCUCUCUAAAAGUGCUGCAGAAGGCGCAUACCUAUGGCACCAACUUGGUGAUGCUGGUGCCUCCUCCAGGGGGAUCAGGCAGCUUUGCCACUUGCUGUCCUUUUGGUGGAAGAGAUGGUUUGUGAUCUUUGAAAAGCACGUGUUAGGACUCAGUGAACAACAUGUUAUGGACGUGCUCGAAUGAAUCUAUCAAUCAGUGGUGUAACCCUGGGAAUCAAGCCUUCCAUUAUGUCUGCCAGAGACUUGGAGUCCGUCACAUCAUCACUGAGCCCAAAGCGAGGAUGCCGUGAGGAAAGCUGGCAUGGCGCACAGUAAAUCCAGCAAUGAUACGGAGAGCCAUGUGUUCCUGAAGGCCAAGCCCCGGGGAGUCGGGGCAGGGCCUGUUGGCCAAGGUCCCGCAGCAUUGGACUCAGCGGUGUGUGCAAACCUCUCCUUUUGUGUUGUAGCGAGGAUGGCAAGAAGAAAGCUGGCGUGGCGCACAGUAAAUCCAGCAACGAUAAGGAGAGCCAUGUGUUCCGUAUCUAUCUCUGUGUCCAUGGCUUUGGCCUCUGAGUGCAUGGCUCUGCCCUGAUGGUCAUCUUUCUUUUCUUAAAGGGUAGCACAUGUUUGAGGUUGAGUAGUUCUAUCAGCCUAUUUCCUGCCUCUCUAGUUUUGGGAGUUCUUUGAUUUUGUCUAGUCUCUAAACUUUCUGGUCCAAGCUGGCAGUGUUUCUGCUGGGAGAACAUUCUAAAAUCCUUGUGGAACUUCUCCGUAUGUGAUGGAAUUCAUGGCAUCAGAUGAGGUUUCUCCACAGAUCUUUCCUGGAUAAUUCUGUCUCUCUUCCUCACUUCUGUGAGAUGAUUGAGGGGAUUCAGGAGUCUCAUGUGUAAUCUCUUUGGCACUAGGGAAAUUUGCAAGACAUGCCACACCCUUGGCAUUCCUCUACAGAACACACUUUCCUAACAGUGAAUCUCCUAGUUUUAGCAUUUUGGUUUUUUCCAAUCUAAGUAGUCUGAGAAUUUCCCAAAUAAUCAAGUCUAGGUUCCUUUGGCAUAACAAUUCUUCCCUCAGUUUAUCUAUUUUUUUGUACUUCUUUAUAUUUUUUAUUAUACCCUCUAUUCUCUUUCCUCUUGCAUUUACUAUAAGCAGGAAAAAGAAACCAAGCUGAGUCGUGAAUGCUUUGAUUGGAAGUCUGCUGAGCUGAAUGUGCAAGCUCAUUACUUAUGAUUCUGCCUUCCACACAGCUAUAGGACACAAUCCAACUAAAUUUUUGCCAUUAUAUAACAAAGAUCAUCUUUGGUCUAGUGUCCAAUAACAUGUUCCUUGUUUCCUCUGUGCCCUUAGCAUCACCUUUAAUGUCCAUGUGUCUCAGCAUUCAGUUUAUGAUAAUGUGUGUGUUCUUGAAGAGAACACAGACUUUCUGUAUGAAGUUCCUCGUUUCCUUUAAGGCAGAGUCUGGGUGACAGAGUCUUUAACAUCCACAUUUCUAUCAACAGUGUGUUGGAAGGCAACCUAGGCCUUUUCUGUCAUGCUUCUCACAAGUCUACCAUCGCUCCUUCAUUAUCCAGUUCCAAAGUCACUGCCACAUUUUUAGGCACCCCACUCCUGGUAACAAAAUUCAUGUUUCCUGUGGCUGCUAUAACAAGUUACUACAAACUUAGUGGCUUAAAAGAACAGAAAUUUAAUCUCUCACAAUUUCCAAGACCAGAAGUUCAAAGUCAGUACCAUGGGCAAAAAAUCACAGUGGCAACAGGGAGGCUACAGGAGAGGAACCUGUUCCUCACAUCUUUCAGCUUCUGGUGACUGCUCGUACUCCUUGGCUUGUGGCUGUAUCACUCCUGUCUUCAGGGCCAACAUCACAGAGUAAAUAAAUUCUCUUUAUGUUCCAUCUUCA